rnacentral:rRNA from 1 species
UACGUAGGGUGCAAGCGUUGUCCGGAAUUAUUGGGCGUAAAGAGCUCGUAGGCGGUUUGUCGCGUCGGCCGUGAAAUCUCCACGCUUAACGUGGAGCGUGCGGUCGAUACGGGCAGACUUGAGUUCGGUAGGGGAGACUGGAAUUCCUGGUGUAGCGGUGAGAUGCGCAGAUAUCAGGAGGAACACCGGUGGCGAAGGCGGGUCUCUGGGCCGAUACUGACGCUGAGGAGCGAAAGCGUGGGGAGCGAACAGG